CGGGGGGAGCAAGCGUUGUUCGGAAUCACUGGGCGUAAAGGGCGUGUAGGCGGUCGGAUAAGUGGAAUGUGAAAUCCCUCGGCUCACCCGAGGAUCUGCAUCCCAAACUGUCCGACUUGAGUAUGGGAGAGGAUGAGGGAAUUCCUGGUGUAGCGGUGAAAUGCGUAGAUAUCAGGAGGAACACCGGUGGCGAAGGCGCUCAUCUGGCCCAAUACUGACGCUGAGGCGCGAAAGCUAGGGGAGCAAACGGGAUUAGAUACCCCGGUAGUCCUAGCCGUAAACGGUGAUCACUAGGUGUUGGAGGCAUCGACCCCUCCAGUGCCGCAGCCAACGCAUUAAGUGAUCCGCCUGGGGAGUACGGCCGCAAGGUUG
rnacentral:rRNA from 1 species